GACGAACGCUGGCGGUGUGCUUAACACAUGCAAGUCGAACGGAAAGGCCCUGCUUUUGUGGGGUGCUCGAGUGGCGAACGGGUGAGUAACACGCGAGUAACCUGCCCUUGACUUUGGGAUAACUUCAGGAAACUGGGGCUAAUACCGGAUAGGAGCUCCUGCUGCAUGGUGGGGGUUGGAAAGUUUCGGCGGUUGGGGAUGGACUCGCGGCUUAUCAGCUUGUUGGUGGGGUAGUGGCUUACCAAGGCUUUGACGGGUAGCCGGCCUGAGAGGGUGACCGGCCACAUUGGGACUGAGAUACGGCCCAGACUCCUACGGGAGGCAGCAGUGGGGAAUAUUGCACAAUGGGCGGAAGCCUGAUGCAGCAACGCCGCGUGCGGGAUGACGGCCUUCGGGUUGUAAACCGCUUUCGCCUGUGACGAAGCGUGAGUGACGGUAAUGGGUAAAGAAGCACCGGCUAACUACGUGCCAGCAGCCGCGGUGAUACGUAGGGUGCGAGCGUUGUCCGGAUUUAUUGGGCGUAAAGGGCUCGUAGGUGGUUGAUCGCGUCGGAAGUGUAAUCUUGGGGCUUAACCCUGAGCGUGCUUUCGAUACGGGUUGACUUGAGGAAGGUAGGGGAGAAUGGAAUUCCUGGUGGAGCGGUGGAAUGCGCAGAUAUCAGGAGGAACACCAGUGGCGAAGGCGGUUCUCUGGGCCUUUCCUGACGCUGAGGAGCGAAAGCGUGGGGAGCGAACAGGCUUAGAUACCCUGGUAGUCCACGCUGUAAACGGUGGGUACUAGGUGUGGGGUCCAUUCCACGGGUUCCGUGCCGUAGCUAACGCUUUAAGUACCCCGCCUGGGGAGUACGGCCGCAAGGCUAAAACUCAAAGGAAUUGACGGGGCCCCGCACAAGCGGCGGAGCAUGCGGAUUAAUUCGAUGCAACGCGUAGAACCUUACCUGGGUUUGACAUGGAUCGGGAGUGCUCAGAGAUGGGUGUGCCUCUUUUGGGGUCGGUUCACAGGUGGUGCAUGGCUGUCGUCAGCUCGUGUCGUGAGAUGUUGGGUUAAGUCCCGCAACGAGCGCAACCCUUGUUCACUGUUGCCAGCACGUUAUGGUGGGGACUCAGUGGAGACCGCCGGGGUCAACUCGGAGGAAGGUGGGGAUGACGUCAAGUCAUCAUGCCCCUUAUGUCCAGGGCUUCACGCAUGCUACAAUGGCUGGUACAGAGAGUGGCGAGCCUGUGAGGGUGAGCGAAUCUCGGAAAGCCGGUCUCAGUUCGGAUUGGGGUCUGCAACUCGACCUCAUGAAGUCGGAGUCGCUAGUAAUCGCAGAUCAGCAACGCUGCGGUGAAUACGUUCCCGGG
rnacentral:rRNA from 1 species